rnacentral:misc_RNA from 1 species
UGGUUCUGGCAUCGAUGAAGAACGCAGCAAAAUGCGAUAAGUAAUGCGAAUUGCAGAAUUCCGUGAGUCAUCGAAUCUUUGAACGCACAUUGCGCCCUUUGGCAUUCCGAAGGGCAUGCCUGUUCGAGCGUCAUUAUCAACCCUCAAGCCCCGGCUUGCUGUUGGAUCUCUGGGAGACCCCUCGCGGGUCAACCGGUCCUAAAGACAAUGACGGCGUCCGUGAGACCCCCGGUACAACGAGCCCCUCCCGGCACGUAUCGUGGUGGGCUGGCGGACCCGGUCGCCUGUGUGGUGCUUGUCACCCACGAUUUUUUCUCAGGUUGACCUCGGAUCAGGUAGGGAUACCCGCUGA